UAGAAGUCAGGUCGGAUUAAGCCAUAGUACGGAAAAAACUAUGCUACCUGUGAGCCCCGUCCAAGGACGUUAAAAGAAGUCAGGCCACUACAAGUGCCACAGCUUGAGCAAACUGUGCAGCCUGUAGCUCCACCUGGGAAGGUGUAAAAAAUCUGGGAGGCCACAAACCAUGGAAGCUGUACGCAUGGCGUAGUGGACUAGCGGUUAGAGGAGACCCCUCCCUUGCAAGUCGCAGCAACAAUGGGGGCCCAAGGUGAGAUGAAGCUGUAAUCUCACUGGAAGGACUAGAGG
rnacentral:lncRNA from 1 species